ensembl:miRNA gmo-mir-200a gmo-mir-200a
CAUCUUACCUGGCAGUGCUUGAUUGUAUGACUGGUCUUCUAACACUGUCUGGUAACGAUGU